UUUCUGUGUAAAACUAUUUCAAAAUCAUGACUGGAGGAAGAGAAAUCCUGCACAAGAUGAAGGAAAAGGCAUGUUUUAUGGCUUCCAUGCCAGACUCACCAGAUACAAGAGGCAAGGGCGGAGCAUCAAAGCGGAUCACUCAUGGUUCCCACCUGGUGAAGGGAAAGUCUAAUCACGCGAUGGAAGAUUGUUUAGUUUGUGAGUUUAAGCAAGUCCAUAACAACGAUUUGGGACUAUUCGCAAUCUAUGAUGGACAUAUGGGCCAUGAUGUAGCAAACUACUUGCAGACACAUUUGUUUAACAAUAUUUUGAAAGAGCAUGACGUUUGGACGGAUACUGUGAAUGCAACUCGUAGAGCUUAUCAUAGUACAGACAGAGACAUUCUGGCAAAAGCAUUCGAAUUGGGAAAAGGAGGGUCAACUGCAGUUACUGCAAUGCUGAUAAAUAG
rnacentral:misc_RNA from 1 species